rnacentral:lncRNA from 1 species
UGUAAUCCCUGAUCUCCCCGGUGACAUAGAGAUAACUCGAGAACAGAUCAUAGACAACGAAUCCGAGAUGGGAAUGUUUCUUCUUGAUGUAAGAGAGUCAGAAACGAAGAGCUCAGGUGUUAUUGUGAACAGCUUCUACGAGCUUGAACCUGAAUACGCUGAUUUUUUCAAGAGAUUUGUAGCGAAGAGAACGUGGCAAAUCGGCCCGCUCUCCGUUACAAACAGAGGAUUUGAGGAGAAGGCUGAGAGAGGAAAGAAAGCGAGCGUUGAUGAAUCUGAAUGCCUUAAAUGGCUUGACUCCAAGGAAAAAGAUUCAGUCAUUUACAUUUCAUUUGGGAGCGUUGCUUGCUUCAAGAACAAGCAACUGGUAGAGAUCGCCGCAGGGUUAGAAGCUUGCGGCGCAAGUUUCAUCUGGGUUGUGAGGAAAAGCACAAGUGACGACGACAAAGAAGAAUGGUUACCAGAAGGGUUUGAAGAGAGGGUCAAAGGGAGAGGGAUGAUAAUAAGAGGAUGGGCUCCGCAGGUGCUGAUACUUGAGCACCAAGUGACCGGUGGGUUCUUGACUCAUUGCGGCUGGAACUCGCUUCUUGAAGGAGUGGCUGCAGGGCUACCGAUGGUCACAUGGCCUAUUGGAGCUGAGCAGUUCUAUAACGAGAAACUGGUUACACAAGUACUGAGAACGGGAGUGAGCGUUGGAGCCACAAAGCAUGUGAAGAAUAUGGGAGAUGAGAUUAUUAGCAGAGAGAAAGUAGAGAAGGCUGUGAGAGAGGUUUUGGCUUGGGAAGAGGGGGAGGAGAGGAGGAUACGGAUAAAGAAACUGGCGGAGAUGGCUAAAGCCGCUGUGGCAGAAGGAGGGUCUUCUUUUAACGAUCUAAACAACUUCAUACAUGAGUUCAGUUCGUGAUCUGAUACGCACGCUGCUGCUCGUCGACCAGUGAUCAUUCAGUACCAGAGGAGAGGUAGAAAGAAGUGUUGAACCGGGAGGAGCCGUGGUACGAGAUACGUUGGUUUGAUUGGUCAUCUUUAUGCUAGAAGCUAUAGUACGUGUGGAAUAAAGCGAAGAGAGGAGGAAGAUCACUCACACGUGUGAGUAACGGUAGCACAUGAGCUGUCUUGUGUGACGUGUAUGUCCUUUCGUAGCUAUAAGUAGUAGGAGAGUAAGGGGUGUGUGUUAGGCAUGAUUUGGUAGUAACAAGAUAGAGAGAGAAAACAACGUCUUGUAUUACUUUCCUUGAAUCAAUAAAAAGAGUGUUUUGUCUUUAGCGUUUGAUUCUCGAAACCUUGAUACACAAAUCGUAUCAUGAUCCCUAGAGUUCUGGUCAAACAUCUCAUUUAGAAAAUAAGAUUAAACCUAACGUAGUAUACAAGGAAUAAAAGUUAAUCCAUGCAUUGUCAGUAAGUUUGUAAAUCUAGGCUAUUAUAUCAUCGGUUUUUAAUCCGUUUUGGUGAUUUUUAGGUUCAAAGAUUUUUCAUUCCCACUAUGAAUUUGAAUUUGUAUCCAAAAGCUUUUUUUUUAUCUCUAAGAAAUUUUAAGAUUUAGUAUUUUCUAGAGAUUUGAGUCCAAGCGACAUGUUUGUGUGAGAUUUGACUUUUUCUAAGAAGCUGCAAAAACUAUGUUAGAUGUUAGUCGGUUCUGAAUUAUAUUUGUCAAAAUUUCACAAUCAUUAACAGAUCUCAUGAAAAAUACAGUUUAAGAUGAGUGCUUCUUGACAAAAAAAAACGGCAAGAAUGGUGAGACAUUGCCUUGUUACAUUGUUACAUGCUUGUGUGAUAUUUGACUUUUCUUUGCUGGUAAUAGAAGUAUUAAUUAACCAUGCAUAUACAUGUUGUAUCCAGUUAAAAUCUACGUUACUCUAUAAUUUAAUUAACAUAUAGGCUUUAAUGAUAAUAGACCCAGAUGCGGACGGACCUGUGAAUUAGGGGGCCUUAUUCAAAAAUAAAAAUUUAAUAACUAUAGUUUAAACAACAUCUUAAAAUAAUUAUGAACAAAACUAUAGAUAGAUUCUAAGGAGAAAAAGCUGAAAGACAUUGUCGCAAGUUUCGUCUUUCAAUUUUAAAGAGUGUGACCGAUGGUUUGAUUAGUGUAGACCUGGGGAUUUUACCCGAACCGGAACCAAUCCGAAAAUACAAAUUCGAGUCGGAGUCUGGAUCUAGGCUAAAAUACUUAUUGGGUAUAAUUAUUUUGGAUCCGCGGGUUUCAGUUCGUGUCCGAAUCCUGCUAGAGACCCGGUCGGAUACCCAAAAUACCCGAUACUUCUAGUAUAUAUUGAGUAUUUUUGGGUGUUUGGAUAUAUUUUUGGUAUCAUGGAUAUUACUUUUAAGUUUUAGAUUCAGGUUUUUGGUAUAGUUUAAGGUUUCAGGUAAAUUUUAGAUUUUAAGAAAUAUAAUUUGAGUAUUUGAAUAAUUUUGGGUAUUUUUUAGAUCUUCGGAUCAGAUUUCAGGUACAAAUUCGGGGGUUUUUGAGUUUUUGGGUAUUUUUUCGGGUUUUCGGUAUUUUUUGAGUUUUCAGGUGUUUUUCAGAUAUUCAGAUCUAAUUCGGGUACUUUGAAUCUUAAAUACUCGAACCCACACGAACCUGAAAUAUACCAAAAAAUUAUGAGUAUUUUGCGAGUAUAUAAAUUAUAAAACCAAACUUAUCCGGAUUAGUGUAACAAAAGUUAGAGUAAAAUAUUUUACUCUCAGUUUCACUCAAUUACAUCCAAUACUCUAGAAAAGGAAUCUUUUAUUUGUUGUUUCCACUUUUUUUUUUCUACCCUACAAAAGCAAGAGUAAACCGGCGGAAACAAAAAGCAACAUAUAUCUUUCCACUUUAUUUUUACUUUAAUUUACUCCAAUUUAGGCUGUCCACGGACCAGUCAUACCCAAAAAGAGAUGCCUUUAUUUUACUUUUUGUUUUUUUUUUUAUAAUAUUUACGGAGCAUCAUUUAAAUGAACUACCUGAGAUCCACAUAAUAUUCUAUAUGUAUGCUGAGUAUUAAGUUAAAAAAGAAAUGAAAUACAAAUGGUAGAAUAACUUACUCACCAGUGUCACUUGUGAGCGGUAGACAAUGACCUACAUAAUGUUUUCAUAAAUAUCACGUACGUAUAAAAAAUGGAAGUGGGGGACAAUAGAGCGGAGCCCCAUACCAAUGUUUCAUAUAACUCGGCUCUGAAUAGAGCUUUAAUGAUUUUCUAUGGAUUGUGUCAACAAAAUUUGCAGCACGAUCUCAUAUUAUAUAUUAUAUUAGUCAACUAACUACACUCUUAGCUGCAUCAAAAUUUUAUAUAACUCUAGAUUUUGACAUUGAUUUUUUUAAGUUAAAAUUAGAUUUUGGUUCCAUAGGCCUUGAAAAACUGACCCAAGACCACAACAAGUGACGUCUGUACUGUAAAGAUGUCAUAUCUACUCGACCAGAGAGUUUCAGUCUGUUAUAAAUAGAGAGAACUACAUUUGAAGCUUCUACAACCAUUCAACUCUUUUACAAGCUUCAGAAUCUUUCACUUCUCUUGUAAAAUUUGCUCGAAAACAUCUCAUUUUCGUUUCGAUUAAUGCCAAAAAUGAGUAGUGAUUCUCAUAAACUCCAUGUUAUGUUCUUCCCUUUCAUGGGAUAUGGCCACAUGAUCCCAACUCUAGACAUGGCUAAGCUUUUCUCCAGCAGAGGAGCCAAAUCCACAAUCAUCACCACACCUCUCAACGCCAAGAUCCUCCAAAAACCCAUCAACACAUUCAAGAGCCUGAACCCAAGCCUCAAAAUCGAGAUCCUGAUCAUCGAUUUCCCUUGCGUGCAGCUGGGGUUACCAGAAGGAUGUGAAAACCCUGAUUUUUUCACCUCAAACAACAACAGCGACGAAAGACAAACCAUGAUGUUAAAAUUCUUUGCCUCCAUGAGGUUUUUCAAAGACCAGCUUGAGAAGAUCCUCGAGACAACGAGACCAAGCUGUCUUAUCGCUGACAUGUUCUUCCCAUGGGCCACAGAAGCUGCUGAGAAGUUCAAUGUGCCAAGACUUGUGUUCCACGGCACUGGCUAUUUCUCAUUAUGCUCUGAACAUUGCAUCAGAAGAAUGCAUAAACCAAAAAAGAGCUGUGAGCCAUUUAAGGUCCCUGACCUCCCUGGGGACAUUACGAUGACUCAAGGACAGAUGAGAGACCUUGACGAAGAAACCGAGAUGGGGAAGUUUCUGAUCGAGGUUAUAGAAUCUGAAGUGAAGAGCUCUGGUGUUGUUGUGAAUAGCUUCUACGAGCUUGAACCUGAAUACGCAGAUUUUUACAAGAGUUCUGUAGCGACGAGAGCUUGGCAUAUUGGUCCGCUCUCGGUUCACAACAGAGGAUUUGAGGAGAAGGCUAAGAGAGGAAAGAAAGCGAGCAUUGAUGAGGUUGAAUGUCUCAAAUGGCUUAACUCCAAGAAACAAGAUUCGGUUAUUUACGUUUCAUUUGGGAGCGUUGCUUACAUCAAGAACGAGCAAUUGAUAGAGAUCGCUGCAGGGUUAGAAGCUUGUGGCGCAAGUUUCAUUUGGGUUGUGAGAAAACGUGGUGAAAGCAAAGGUACUGAUAGACAAAACACAUGCAUUGAUUGUCUGUUCACAAUAGUUUAUACCAUCGGUUCUAACUGAAACAAUUUUUCUUAAACUCCUAUUUAUACGAUUCAAAUCGGUUUAGAUCAUUUUAAAUCGGGUUAAACCAUUCAAAAUUGGUUAAAAUCGAUUUAAAUUAGUCUAAAUCCGUUAAAUUAUUGUUUGUUCACAAUAGGUUAUACUAAAGUACUAGAGUCGUGUUUGAAAAAAUAACAGCCUAUGUUCGGUUUCUAUGUCUUUAUAUGAAAACAGGCGAAGAAGAAUGGUUACCAGAAGGGUUUGAAGAGAGGGUGAAAGAGAGAGGAAUGAUAAUAAGAGGAUGGGCUCCACAGGUGAUGAUACUUGACCACCAAGCAACCGGUGUUUUCGUGACUCAUUGCGGCUGGAACUCGGUUCUUGAAGGAGUGGCUGCAGGGCUUCCGAUGGUGACGUGGCCGGUUGGAGCGGAGCAAUUCUAUAACGAGAUAUUGGUAACGCAAGUGCUGAAGACGGGAGUUAGCGUGGGAACCAAGAAACAUGCGAGUAUGGGAGAUUUUGUUAGCAGAGAGAGUGUGGAGAAAGCGGUGGGGGAGGUGUUGGUUGGGGAAGAGGCCGAGGAGAGGCGAAGACGGGCAAUGAAGCUGGCUGAGAUGGCUAAAUCCGCCGUGGAAGGAGGGUCUUCUUAUAACGACCUAAGCAACUUCAUAGAAGAGUUCAGCUCAUGAUGAUAUGAUCCGGUUAACUCCUGCUUUUGAGUUUGAAACUACUUAAAUGUAGCAGAUCAUUUUUGAGUUGGUUUGAUAAUAUCAAUUUUCGUUUGAAUUUGAAUUUUUUUUAUUUUUUAUGAAGAUGCAAAAUCAUAUGAGAGUAGUUCAAAUUCUGUUUGGUCGUCGUGUUUGGUGGUUAUAAGAAUAUUUACUUUUAUCAAAUGGAAUAAACAGAUUUGCUACUAGCUAUGGCAGAUUUAAGGGUUCUGCUAUGUUGAGUUCUCGGUUUCCCGCUUGAUCUGCAGUGCAGCCCUAACAACGUUUCCCCUUGUCAGGAUCCCAAUCUUUGUUGCGACCAAACCAAAACAAUAAAAAUGACCAAAAUCAGAUCAAAAUCAAACUGAAAAAUAAUAAUAAGAAGAGAAGAUUGUGUAUUUUUAGAUUCUCUCACCAGUUUUCCAUCUGAAUCCACGACUGGUAAUCUUCGGAACUUUGUUUCAAGAAGCAACCUGGAGACAACAGAUGGUUACAAAUCUUUGUAAGAAAUGUAGCUUUCAGACCGAACUCAUAUUCUGCGAGGAGGAUAACCUGGCAGCAUCUUCUAGAUUGGUGGAACCACGGACAACCAGAGGAGAAGGAGUCAUAUUUGUGCGCUAAUUAUUGCAUGAAAGUGCAUAAACCACAGAACAAAGUAGCUUCGAGUAGUGAGCCUUUUGUAAUCCCUGAUCUCCCCGGUGACAUAGAGAUAACUCGAGAACAGAUCAUAGACAACGAAUCCGAGAUGGGAAUGUUUCUUCUUGAUGUAAGAGAGUCAGAAACGAAGAGCUCAGGUGUUAUUGUGAACAGCUUCUACGAGCUUGAACCUGAAUACGCUGAUUUUUUCAAGAGAUUUGUAGCGAAGAGAACGUGGCAAAUCGGCCCGCUCUCCGUUACAAACAGAGGAUUUGAGGAGAAGGCUGAGAGAGGAAAGAAAGCGAGCGUUGAUGAAUCUGAAUGCCU